ACGCUUCUAGACAUAGAGGCUUCCCUUCGGGUACAUAAGGUGACAGGUGGUGCAUGGUUGUCGUCAGCUCGUGUCGUGAGAUGUUGGGUUAAGUCCCGCAACGAGCGCAACCCCUAUUGUUAGUUGCCAUCAUUCAGUUGGGCACUCUAGCGAGACUGCCGGUAAUAAACCGGAGGAAGGUGGGGAUGACGUCAAAUCAUCAUGCCCCUUAUGACCUGGGCUACACACGUGCUACAAUGGCUGGUACAACGAGUCGCAAGCCGGUGACGGCAAGCUAAUCUCUUAAAGCCAGUCUCAGUUCGGAUUGUAGGCUGCAACUCGCCUACAUGAAGUCGGAAUCGCUAGUAAUCGCGGAUCAGCACGCCGCGGUGAAUACGUUCCCGGGUCUUGUACACACCGAAAA
rnacentral:rRNA from 1 species